GCGUCGGUGGUGCAAGGGAUAGAGCACGCUCCCCUGAAUUUAGUGAAAUGCGGGUUCAAGUUCCGCCUGGCGCA